rnacentral:rRNA from 1 species
CCUACGGGUGGCAGCAGUGAGGAAUAUUGGUCAAUGGGCGCGAGCCUGAACCAGCCAAGUCGCGUGAAGGAUGAAGGCUCUAUGGUUUGUAAACUUCUUUUAUAUGGGAAUAAAGUGAGGCACGUGUUCCUUUUUGUAUGUACCUUAUGAAUAAGCAUCGGCUAACUCCGUGCCAGCAGCCGCGGUAAUACGGAGGAUGCGAGCGUUAUCCGGAUUUAUUGGGUUUAAAGGGUGCGUAGGUGGUUAGUUAAGUCAGUGGUGAAAGUUUGUGGCUCAACCAUAAAAUUGCAGUUGAAACUGGUUGACUUGAGUAUAGUUGAGGUAGGCGGAAUGCGUGGUGUAGCGGUGAAAUGCUUAGAGAUCAUGAAGAACACCGAUUGCGAAGGCAGCUUACCAAGCUACUUCUGACGUUGAGGCACGAAAGCGUGGGGAGCAAACAGGAUUAGAUACCCCUGUAGUC